rnacentral:rRNA from 1 species
CACCGCGGUUAUACGAGAGGCUCAAGUUGACAGACAACGGCGUAAAGAGUGGUUAAGGAAAAUACUCGACUAAAGCGGAACACCCUCAUAGCUGUUAUACGCUUCCGAGGGCAUGAACCCCAACUACGAAGGUGGCUUUACAUUACCUGAACCCACGAAAGCUAAGAAA